rnacentral:rRNA from 1 species
UACGUAGGGUGCGAGCGUUAAUCGGAUUUACUGGGCGUAAAGCGUGCGCAGGCGGCCCGUUAAGACAGGUGUGAAAUCCUGGGCUCAACCUAGGAAUUGCGCUUGUGACUGGCGGGCUCGAGUACGGUAGAGGGGGGUGGAAUUCCUGGUGUAGCAGUGAAAUGCGUAGAGAUCAGGAGGAACACCGAUGGCGAAGGCAGCCCCCUGGGCCUGUACUGACGCUCAUGCACGAAAGCGUGGGGAGCAAACAGG